rnacentral:rRNA from 1 species
UACGUAGGGACCAAGCGUUGUCCGGAUUUAUUGGGCGUAAAGAGCUCGUAGGCGGUUCUGUAAGUCGAGUGUGAAAAAUCUGGGCUCAACCCAGUGGAGCACUCGAUACUGCAGUGACUCGAGUCCGGUAGGGGAGUGUGGAAUUCCAGGUGUAGCGGUGAAAUGCGCAGAUAUCUGGAGGAACACCAACAGCGAAGGCAGCACUCUGGGCCGGUACUGACGCUGAGGAGCGAAAGCGUGGGGAGCGAACAGG